CGAGAUAUAGCUUAACUGGUAAAGCAUCUGCCUUCCAAGCAGAGGACGCGGUUCGAAUCCGAUAUUUCGCUCA
rnacentral:tRNA from 1 species